rnacentral:lncRNA from 1 species
GAAUUAGAUUGAAGUGAAAUAUUAUUGUGUGGAUACUAGACUUGAUUUCCAAUAUUUUAGAUAAAAUUUGAAAGUAAUUCAAUAGUUUAAGAAGGAGAUAUUGGUGCUCAAAGUUUAAUACUCACAUUGGAAUAGGAGGCCACCUAAUACUCGAUUGGAUUAUCUUGCUUUUCUUUCAUUUGGUAAGUGCAAUUGAUUUCAUCUUUUUUGUAUUUUUUUCUAACUAAGUCAUUAAAAAGUAUGAAAAAUUUGAAUUGACAUCAAAAGUUUGAUUAUUACUUAUUGAGGUUCUAUUUGCUAUAUAAUUCUUAAGAGUUUGUUUUAAAUCUAGGAUUUCAUUAGAGUUGGUUUUGGAUUUGGUCUAGGAUUUGAUGUAGGAUUUGAUUAAAGCUCAAUUAGGAUUUCAAUUAGGAUUUCAAUUAGGAUUUGACCUAGGAUUUUAUAUAAAGUUUGAUUAAGAUUGAAUUUAAGGUUUCAAUUAGAAUUAUAUUAGGAUUUUUAUUUUUAAUAUA